GCCGAGAUAGCUCAGUUGGCAGAGCAACAUAUUGGUAAUAUGUAGGUCGCCGGUUCAAAUCCGGCUCUCGGCU
rnacentral:tRNA from 1 species